CACCCUUGCUCUGGUCGCCGCUACCUGAUCCCGACCCGCGCCGCCGCCCCACCCUUGCUUCGGCCACCACUGCCACCCUCGCUCCGGUCGGCCCUCGCACUCGCCGGUCCACACUGCCGCCACUACCCUAUCCUGGCCCGCUGCUAGGCUCCGCUGGCAUGCGUGUGCCGGCCCUGCCCCGGCUCUGCCUAGCCCCCAGGCCACGUUGCCGCGGCGCUGCCCCGGCCUCGUCGACCCCGCCCCGGCCACCCCUCUCCUCUGGCCCUCCCCGAGCUCGCUGUCUGCCCUCCUCUACCGCUGCUCCGGCCGGCCGAGCCUCGGCCCGAGCUCCUCUCUACCUCCCAACCUCAUCCCGGCCAGCCACCGUUGAGGAUUUUUGGUGUUGCAUCUUCCUUCAGUGACGUCAUCGGAGCCGUUGGUCCCUGAUCAUCCCUUCGUUGAUCGACUACAUCCGAGGGUUCGCUAAGCAUGGGCAAGGGCAAGGCCGAUGGCACGGGUUUCCUAAGCAAACUCACCACGAGGGUUAGUCGGAGUGGUCAACACCGUAGUGUUCCUCCCGACUACUUGAGGUUGACUCCUCAUAGGGAGGUCGAGGCAGAGGUGC